AGCAAUGCAGGAACUAUAAACCGCAACCAACCCCUCUUGGAUCUUGACCUGUCAUUGAUGGACCGUUUGUUUGCUAUCAAUGUACGUGGCAUGGUAGCAUGUGUGAAGCAUGCUGCACGUGCAAUGGUGGAAGGUGGGAAAGGAGGAAGCAUUGUCUGCACUGCGAGUGUUGCAGGAAAAAGGGGGAGUGAUGAUGGGAUGCAAGACUACGUCAUAUCAAAAAAUGCAGUGGUGGGUUUGGUUAGAACAGGGAGUUGUGAGUUGGGGAAGUAUGGGAUCCGAGUUAAUUGUGUUUCACCAAGUGCACUUGCUACACCAUUGUUGAUGGAGUUCUUUGGGAUGAAGGAUAAGGAGAGUGCAGAGGAGGCGAUUUUAGGCAACAGUAGCUUGAAAGGAACAGUAUUGAAGGUGAAUCAUGUGGCUGAUGCUGUGUUGUUUCUUGCUUCUAAUCAAUCUGCCUUUGUUACUGGGCAUGAUUUGGUUGUUGAUGGUGGCUUGCUUUGUCGCGUUGGUUCAAAUAAAUUUUUAGGUGAAAAAUAAUUUCUCAGUCACGAAAUCAGCAAAAGAUUUAUGUAUUCUUCCAGCUGAUGUAGUGUGUGAAUAAGAAUUGUGUCUAAAGUUUGCUCUGUGUGCUUUCGGGUUUUCAAGUUUAAUAACAGUGAUUAAUAAUUCCUCUAGUAGAUCAUCCUUUCUGUUAAACUGUCUCUGCUUAGAGGUGUGCUCCAUUGUUAGUAGCAUGUUAGAUAUUUGGUUUCAAUAGGUUAGCUAAGCUUGGUGCUACUUGAAAGGUCUCACAUCAUACCCCCAUGUGAUUCUUGAGGGAGAACAAUUAUUAUGAAGUAUGUAGCAGCAAAUUACUAUUUCACCAAUAAUUGAUAGAAAACUCCUGUAUUCUUAAUUAAAAAUUGAUUGUGGUUACACCUAACCUUUUAAAGUUUACAAUAAUUGGUAUUCAGAAAACUAUGGACCGAGAUGCACUUCCAUCCAUUCCUAUAAGUAACUUGCAUAUCAAUAUGCAAUCCGACAAAAGCUAAACUGUGAGUUAUGCAACAAAGUAGAGUCGAAUUCCCAACUUAUGCAACCAACUAAAUUAGAUUUAAAAUCAUCACCAAACUUUCAAGUUUCCCAAUUUAUGCAACGCCGUCAAAUGAAAUCUAACGGAUGUAACUUUUUUGCUGACCGGAUGAUUUUUAAUAUUAAAAAAUAUUUUCCCCCUAAAAAUAUAAAUAAAUAAAAUAAAAUUGGCUUUAUCUCAAAAGAAGAUAAGUCUUGGGUUUUCAAACCCCCAUUUUCAAUUUUCUACUUCUCAAUCUCUUGGAUUCAUCAAAUCGAACUUAAAAUCUUAGUUUAUGGUUGUUUUGGGUUUAAAAUAAUCUCUUCUUUAAUUUUGGGUUUAAAUUUUUUUUUUACUUACUUUACACAGUCAGCAAUAAAUUAUUACACUACAAUAGCAAUAACUUAUUACACAGUUAGCAAUAAAAAAUUUAAAAAAGAAUACAGUCAGCAAGACCUAACGUCUGUUAAGGGAUUGUUAACGAUAUUGCAUAAGUUUGCUGAUGAUUUUAUACAUAAUUUAGUUGGUUGCAUAAGGUGGGAAUUCGAUCCUACUUUGUUGCAUGACUCGAUAGUUUAGCCUAUGGCAAAAGCCUUUUCAGAAAAGAAAAAAUGGAAGUAAUUACUCAUACGUGCAAAAACCUGGAAGGGAAAGUUGCUAUCGUUACAGGUGGUGCGAGUGGAAUUGGUGAAACCACUGGACGUUUGUUCGCUAAUGAAGGCGCACGUAUGUGUUGAACUAUAUGCAGUGAUUAAUUAAAUCCCAACAACGUCAAACAACCCGUAACCUAGAUAUUCGUGAGAACACAUCAUUUGCAAUACAGGAUCCGUUUUGUCAAUGAAGUCAAAGAUUACCAAACAAUAAACAAUAGUAUAAGAAGAAUAAAACAAUAAAGAACAAUAAUACCAAAAUAUACGUGGUUCGGCAAUGCCUACCUCCACGGGGAACAAUGAGAAGAUUUCACUAUAAGAAAAGAAACACCGAUUACAAUAAUCUCCCUAGUAUCUUUCUCAAGAUCUUAAUCUCUCACCUUAAACCCAAUACACUCUUGGCUCCCAAAGUUCUCUCUUAUUUACUCUUUCUAUCUCUAUGUUUCUAUUGUUUUCUACUCUCUUGUCUUAUCUUACAAAUACCGGGUAUUUAUAGUCUAUGGAUAGAAACCAAAUCCAUAUAGGAUUACUUGUUCAAAACUGAGAUAAAUAGGAAACCGAGUCCAAUAAGAACUCCUGCACAUAUAUGGUUUCCUUAACCAAUAUAGGAACUGAUCCUAUGGAUCACACCUUUUGUAUGGUAUGAUCCUGUGCACCCAACUAUUGCGAGCCAAUAUACAACAGUAUGGUUGUCAUUGCCGACAUCCAGAUAAGUUAGGCCAAUCUGUUGCUUCAUCCAUCGGCACACAUAACUGCACUUACAUCCACUGUGAUGUCUCCGAUGAAAACCAAGUCAAGUCCAUUGUCGAAUCAACUAUCAAGAGUUAUGGACAUCUAGACAUCAUGUUCAGCAAUGCAGGAACUGUAAACCGCAACCAACCCCUCUUGGAACUUGACCUGACAUUGAUGGACCGUUUGUUUGCUAUCAAUGUACGUGGCAUGGCAGCAUGUGUGAAACAUGUUGCACGUGCAAUGGUGAAAGGUGGGAAAGGAGGAAGCAUUGUCUGCACUGCGAGUGUUGCAGGAAAAAGGGGGAGUGAUGAUGGGAUGCAAGACUACGUCAUAUCAAAAGGUUGGUUAGAACAGGGAGUUGUGAGUUGGGGAAGUAUGGGAUCCGAAUUAAUUGUGUUUCACCAAGUGCACUUGCUAGUUGCUACACCAUUGUUGUUGGAGUUCUUUGGGAUGAAGGAUAAGGAGAGUGCAGAGGAGGCGAUUUUAGGCAACAAUAGCUUGAAAGGAACAGUGUAAUACCCAAGAAUCUGCAGAUUCAGAUGGAGAAGAAGGUUCAGUUGGUUGAACCAAAUGGGCCGAACCGACCCGAUUUCUUUUUUGACCCGUUUUCAUGUUAUAAAAACCAGAUCUGAUUUUCAGCACGAAUUUUCUUAUUAAAAAUCAAUUAAGAAGCUUAAGAAGAAGAAGAAAAACAUUCUAAAACCUAUGGUUUUGAUUGGGUAUUGCUUGCUUACAUUGUUUUGAUUAAUUGGUGGCUUGGAAUUGGAUUUUCUUUCUUGUUUGUGCAUCUUGGUUGUGUUCAUCUUCAAAGGUAAGUUAUAUUACUUGAUGUUUUCUCUUACUUCUUAGAUUAGGUUGAAGUAACCCCUUGUUAGCAUGUUUAAUUCGUUUAUUAUAAUUGAAUUACAUGAUAAAGUAUGAUUUAGUAAGUAGAACUCAAUAAAGUUACGAUCUUGUUGAUAUUUAACUAUGUAUUAAUGCUGAAAUUUAACUUUAAGAACAUAUUAAUGUAGGAAUUGGUGAUUUAAAACAUGUUUAAUGUUAACUUAAUGUUCCAAAGCAUAAUAAAUGAUUAUAUUGCUUAAUUGUACUUUGUAUGAUGAAUAAAGCAUGAUUAUAUUGAAUUAUUUAUUAAUGCUGAAAUUUAUAUUUCAAAAUAUGUUAUAUUGGGUUUGAAUAUUUGACUUGGUAUUGUAGUGUUUGAUUGAACCCAUUGGUUAUGGACUUUCUUACUUUAGAAUUUCCUGAACUUGACAUCAUACUUGUUUAUGUUGUUCGUCAUAUAUAUUUAUAUGGACGAUGAAUGGAAUAGAAUGAUUGGAUUGAACCAUGUGUUGGAUUAAAUUUGGGCGUGUUAAACAAAUUAACACAGGACCAGUAUGAUGGGGAGACGUCCCAGAGUGUUGUCACAUGACAUAGCUCGAUGAGUGUAUGGCUAUGAUGCGUACGACUUGGUGCUACUGCACAACUUUGUAUAUGAAUUUCAUGGAUUGAAAUUGAUGGAUUUGGAUGGACUUGAUGAUUUGGUUUGAGAUUGAAAUUGAUGGACUUUGAUAGAUUGUGUGAUUUGGUUUGAGAUUGAAAAAUUAUGAUGCAGAUAUUAGAAGAUUUAUAAAGUUGGAUUAGAUUAGUAUUUGUCAUGUUAUUUUUAUUGAUUUUAUAUUAUGUUUAGUUAACCCCUUCGGUGCAGGAGAAGUACGUAUGGGUUCAUUAUGGUCGGCUCAGUUUUUUACAAUCUUCACCGAGGUGGAGAAUUGUAGAAAAGUGAUAUGUGGAGGUUACAAGUAAUAGAUUCCUAUUAGGAAUCGGUUUCCUUAUUUGGCAACAAGUGUGGUGGAAUUCUAUUAGGAUUCAAUAAGACUUUCUAAUCUAUUAGAAAUCUAAGUUGUUGUUGAAUUAGGAAUUGGGUUACCAAUUGGAUUAACCAAAGAGGUUAUAAAUAUUGGUGUUGUGUAACCAUAAGAAUUUGAGCAAAGAAGAAAAUAUGUGUGAGGAAACCUAAACUAAGGUUUCAUUAGUUAUUGUGUAGUUCACUUCUCAAUUAUCAAUAAAGCUAUCUCUCUUUGUCCCGUGGAUGUAGGCAUAUUGUCGAACCACGUAUAUUAUUGUGUUUCCGUAUUUCUGCUUUAGUUUAUAUCUUUUGUGUUUGUUUCUUCAUUAAUCAUAUCAAGAUCCUGUGUAUUUAUCAUAACAUAAUCGACCUCGCUUUUGCCUUUUUACAGGAAACAAGUGAGGUUAAAUUACGGAGAGUCCGAUGAGGAUGGAGAGGUUGUUAGAGUUGGAGAUAGUAGUUAGAGUUGCUCUUAGUUUAGAUAUUUCUUUCAGUUAUCAUUUGUAGCCUUCGUGGCAUUUGUUUAUUCAUUUAUCAGUUUUCGGAUAUUUCAGACACUCUUAUUUCUUUAUUUGAUUCUUUAUAUAGAAAUUUGAUUUGUAGACUUCCGCUGUUGUUUAUUUAUUGUUCUUCCAUAUGUUCUGCAUGGAUAUAAGAAUUCGGCUUGGAUGACACGUGACAGUGAUGGAAUCCUAGGGUCCAUGGUGGACAUAUGGUGCAUAUCACGACUCUGGUGUCUGUGCUUGGUCUGAUCAACUAGGUAUGGAUUUCAGGGGCAUUACAAACAGUAUUGAAGGUGAAUCAUGUGGCUGAUGUUGUGUUGUUUCUUGCUUCUGAUCAAUCUGCCUUUGUUACUGGGCAUGAUUUGGUUGUUGAUGGUGGCUUGCUUUGUCGCGUUGGUUCAAAUAAAUUUUUAGAUGAAAAAUAAUUUGUCAGUCACACAGCUUAAAGAUUUCUGUAUUUUUCUAGCUGAUAUAGUAUGUGAACAAGAAUUGUGUCUAAAUUAAGUUUCAUCUGCGUGCUUUCGUGUUUUCGCGUUUAGUAACAGUGGUUACUGAAUGCUCUAAUAGAUCAUCACUUUUGUUAAACUGUACAUCUGUCUACAGGUGUGCUCCAUUAUUGGUAGCAUCUUAGAUUUUUUGUUUCUAGGGUAGCUAAUCUUGGUGCUUCUAAGAAGAACAAUUAUCAUGAACAAUAAGUGUAAGAGAACUCGUAUAUUCUUGAUUAAAAAUUGAUUGCAGUAACACCUACUUUCUAAAGGUUACAAUGUCUUCAGACUCAAGAAACUAAUCUAUGAUUUGUUCCUUUAACUAGAAUAUAAUUACUUACAUGACUAAUUCUAACUUAAACGUUUCAAGUAAAUUGAAUUUAGCAACUAAGCGCCUCCCAAAGCCUUCCCUUUGAGCAUGGUCCAAUUUUGCCAAGAUAUACAAGUUGAUCCUGAGUCCUGACAUUCACUUAAUAACCCCAUAAAUCUUAUAUCGGCUGCAGAGACUCAUGGCAACAAUUACUUUCAGGUAAUUGUGUGACAGAAUUACAGACUUGCUGGAGGGCUGGGAAAUUGUGAUACAGGACAGAGACUGUUUCCUUUAUUCAUUUAUUGCUUGUACAAAUUACUUUUGAUAAAAACAAAUGAAUAAAUAAAGCAUCUUUAAUCACUUUAAACUUACAAUGAAUGACCAGGCUUGUGCAGUUGUGCCUCUUUUAUGGCUGAAAUUUUUGAAGUCACCAAAUUUUUUCAGUGAAUCCCCUGGUAGUUGUGCGUUUUUGUUGCCUUGGAUAAAACAACUCAUCAAAUACAAACCAAGACAAAAUAUCACAGGCAGAUAGAAAUUAUUUACAAACAAAGGCACAUAUGGAAAAAGAAAAAAACUACAUUUUUCCAUCUCACCCAGUCAAACAAGGCCCAACUUGAGCACCAUCAAUUCAACAAACUAGUGACAGCCAGGAAAAAAAAAAUCACAGAAGCAAACUUACAUUUUCCAUCUCACCCAGUCAAACAAGGCCCAAAGUCAUUCCCCUUGACAAGGUACAUGAAGAAAUUUCCAAGAUAAGCCUACAAAAUGCUGACAAUUCAAAAAUCUGAUAUCUUUUAAAAAGCACAACGUUCUUGACAAACUGAACAGAGGAGCUGUCAGUGUGAUGCUCAUGAGAAAGAAUUCCAUUCAAAGUUUGGUGGUCAUAAUUAGAUCUAGAAUUAUCGAGUCUAUGUCCUUCACUUACUGACUUAGAACAAGAUUACAAGAAUUAUUGAGUAAGGACUAUUCUAUGGUCCUUCACUUAUUGAGUUAGAUCUAAAUUUAUUGACAAGUCUAUGCCCUUAAUAGUUAUUCAGGGAAUUCUGGACUGGAGAUGCAUUUCCAUCAAUUUCUAUAAGUAGAUUGCAUUAUAUAGAGAAAUCAAAUAAGCUUUCUGAGAGAAGAAAAAAUGGAAGUAGCUACUCCUAUGAGCAAAAGACUGGAUGGGAAAGUAGCUAUCAUUACAGGUGGUGCGAGUGGAAUUGGCGAAGCCACUGCACGUUUGUUCGCUAAUGAAGGCGCAAGAAUGGUUGUCAUUGCUGACAUCCAAGACAAACUAGGUGAAUCUGUUGCAUUAUCCAUUGGUGCACAUCAUUGCACUUAUAUCCACUGUGAUGUCUCCGAUGAAAACCAAGUCAAGUCCAUGGUCGAAUUAACUGUCAAGAAUUAUGGACAUCUAGACAUCAUGUUCAGCAACGCAGGAAUUGUAAACCGCAACCAAUCCCUGUUGGACCUCGACUUGUCUUUGAUGGACCGUUUGUUUGCAAUUAAUGUACGUGGCAUGGUAGCAUGUGUGAAGCAUGCUGCACGUGCAAUGGUGGAAGGUCAUAAAGGAGGAAGCAUCAUAUGCACUGCGAGUGUUGCAGGAAAGAUGGGAGGUGACGACGGGAUGCAAGAUUACGCCAUUUCAAAAAAUGCAGUGGUGGCGUUGGUUAGAGCAGGGAGUUGUGAGUUUGGGAAGUAUGGCAUCCGGAUUAAUUGUGUGUCACCAGCUGCAGUUGUUACACCUAUGACGAUGGAGUGGUUUGGGAUUAAGGAUAAGGAGAUUGCUGAGGGAGCAUUUUCAAUUCACAGUAGCUUGAAAGGAACAGUGUUGAAGGUGAAUCACGUGGCUGAUGCUGUGUUGUUUCUUGCUUCUGAUCAGUCUGCUUUUGUUACUGGGCAUGAUUUAAUUGUUGAUGGUGGUAUGAUUUGUCGGAUUGGUUCGGAUAACUUUGUUAGUAACAAAUAAUUCUCAAUCACAGGAAUUCAGCAUAAGACUGUGUGAUAUCUUCUAGCUGAUGUAGUGCGUUAAUAAGAAUCGAGAGUUCAAGGCUAAAGUUUAGUCUAUGUGUUUUCGUGUUUUCAAUUUUAAUUACAGUGAUUAAUAAAGGUUGUAGUAGACCAUCCCUUUUGUUCAUCUCUUUGAUGUCAGACCUUGACAACUUAAAUCAUAAAAUGCUAUGUACGGAAGACAAUAAUCCUGCAAGUCACUUCUCAGAAAUACUAGGUUACAGGUAUGCUCCAAUCUCAAUUAUGUAGCAUGUUAGAUUUUUUGUUUCUACACUAGGUUACCUUUGUCCUUCUUUAAACGUCGACUGCAUCAUACUUGUGUUUCUUCGUGUGCAUUAUUGAUAAAGUAAAUGAUUAAACCCCAAAUAUUAAUCAUACAGAAAUGUCAAACUUUCAAAUAAUUGAAAUCAAACCAACAUGCAAUGUAUUAAUGAUCAAACAGAAAUAUCAACAUAUCAGAUCAAUUAACUAUAAUUCAGUAAAGAAUGAAGAGAAAGGUAACGCAACUCACAAAGUGUUCAUCAUUUAAGGUUCCUGAAUCUCUUCUCUUUUCUUCUCAGCUAGCAUCGGUAAGUCCAGCACCACUAAUAAAUACAAUAUAAUAGUACACCCAAAUGCACCUGCCACGAAAUCGAAUGCAGCCUUUUUCAUUGCUUCCAUUGAAGGAAGAAUCAAUGCUGUUCAACAAGAUUGCCUUCCCCAACACACUCAAAAAAUCCUUUAACAACUGCUGCCACCAUUACCAAUGCCUCAGCUUGACUCUCGAAUCCCAAAUCUCAUUUUCAUAGUAUUAGUUUCUUUUGAAUUCAGCAUUAACAAAUCUUUAUUAAAUGUCGAAGGUAAUCCUUUUAUUGACCAAAAGAGAAAACCAAUUGAUCAAAUUCCAAGCAUUUUCAUCACAGAAAUUGCUGCAAUUCUAGCAUAAUUUCAUAAAAGGAUCUUCACUGUGAGACUUUUGGCGUCCUUAAUGGUGAGUUGAAGGUAUUGAAGAAGAGGGGUUUUGAAUGCUGCAAAUCACCAUUAGUUUGUAGUAGUAGUAGUAGUAGAGAGAGAGAGAGAGGGUUUAGGGCUUUUGCAGCAGAGGUGCUUGAUAAAAUCCCAUUCCGAUAUAUACCAUCUGGAUGUUAUGGGACUUAUGGCUCACCAGAUUCGAUGAUGUUAUUUAAAGGUGUUUCACCAAACUUGGACAAAGUCUGCACUCUGCAGCAACAUCAAGUCCUUACUCUGGUUUUGGAUCGGAGGGAAAGCUGCUAACAGAGAUUUAUACAUAUGGGUACCUGCUAAGAAAUUGGGAGAUGGUGCUGUUUGUACCUUUUAUUGUUCUUUGUAUUGCUCAACUCAAGCGCGGUGUGAAAGGAAGCAUGUGUGUACUACAGGUGUCAGUUGGGCUCAGCUAGUAAAACCUCUGGGUGAUGAUACCAGAGGUCUAGGGUUCGAAUCCCACCAGUAUUACCGAGUUACUGAUCUCAUUAAAAACAGGCUUACCAAACCAUUUUGCGAAUGAGCCUGUGGCUCAAUGGUUGCACCCCUCUCACAAAGUGGAGAGGUCGUGGGUUCGAAACAUGUCAACAUCGGAUUGUUGAUAUAAGUUUCCACACGUAAUUUAAAAGGGGUAGGGACCCUCAACCUCGCUUGCCAACCAAAAAAAAAAAAUGUUGGAGGACGGAAAAAGAAGUGAUGAGGGCAUGCAACAUGCAAGACUACAUCAUGUAAAAUAAAAAACGCAGUGCUGGAGUUGUGAGUUGGGGAAGUAUAGGAUCCGAAUUAAUUGUAUUUAAUCAAGUCCAGUUGUUACAUGGAGUACGAAAUUCUUUAGCUCAGGGAAGAGACAAUUAUUUGAGCUGGCCUGUACUAUAUUACAGCUACAAUGGAUCUCAAAUCAACAAUUCCUUGAAUUUAUAAUGCGUACGAAUCUUAGAUAGUUAGAUAUGGCUAGCUGUUGCCAACUUCAAUUGCCAGAAUAGGCAAACAACUAGCAUAUUAUUAGAAUUAUUAACUGGAGGUUGCAAUUCCAAACCAAACCAAUAAUUAAGAGGAAAUUAUGGACUGGAAGGAAUGUACUUCCAUCAGUUCCUAUAAGUAACUUGCAUAUCAAUAUGCACUAUGACAAAAGCCUUUUGAGAGAAGAAAAAAAAUGGAAGUAGCAACUCCUACAACUACAAGUAAAAAACUGGAAGGGAAAGUAGCUAUCAUUACAGGUGGUGCGAGUGGAAUUGGUGAAGCUACUGCACGUUUGUUCGCAAAUGAAGGCGCCCGAAUGGUUGUCAUUGCCGACAUCCAAGAUGAAGUAGGCCAAUCUGUUGCUUCAUCCAUCGGCGCAAAUCAUUGCACUUACAUCCACUGUGAUGUCACUGAUGAAAAUCAAGUCAAGUCUAUGGUCGAAUCAACAGUCCAGAAUUAUGGACAUCUAGACAUCAUGUUCAGCAAUGCAGGAACUGUAAAUCGCAACCAACCCCUCUUGGAGCUCAACCUGUCAUUGAUGGACCGUUUGUUUGCUGUCAAUGUACGUGGCAUGGCAGCAUGUGUAAAGCAUGCUGCACGUGCAAUGGUGGAAGGUGGGAAAGGAGGAAGCAUCGUCUGCACUGCGAGUGUUGGAGGAAAAAAGGGAAGUGAUGAUGGGCUGCAAGACUACAUCAUCUCAAAAAAUGCAGUGGUGGGGUUGGUUAGAACAGGGAGUUGUGAGUUGGGGAAGUAUGGCAUCCGAGUUAAUUGUGUGUCACCAGCUGCAGUCGCUACACCUAUGACGCUGGAGUGCUUUGGGAUCAAGGAUAAGGAGAGUGCUGAGGAAGCAUUUUCAAUUCACAGUAGCUUGAAAGGAAAAGUGUUGAAGGUGA
rnacentral:lncRNA from 1 species